rnacentral:rRNA from 1 species
UCUUGGGCAAUGGGCGCAAGCCUGACCCAGCAACGCCGCGUGGAGGAUGAAGUCCCUCGGGAUGUAAACUCCGAAAGAAGGGGACGAAUAAGCAUGGGCUAAUACCCCGUGCGAUGACGGUACCCUUUGUAAGCCCCGGCUAACUACGUGCCAGCAGCCGCGGUAAUACGUAGGGGGCAAGCGUUGUUCGGAUUUACUGGGCGUAAAGCGCGCGUAGGCGGCACUGCAAGUCACUUGUGAAAUCUCCGGGCUUAACUCGGAGGGGCCAAGUAUACUGCAAAGCAGGGUGCGAAGGGGCAGCUGAAUUCUCGGUGAGCGGUAAAUGCGAGUUCAGGGGACACCGGUGGCGAGGCGGGCUGCAAGCCGACUGCGUGACCAGUCGUA